GAUAAAGAACGUAGCGAAAUGCGAUAAGUAAUGUGAAUUGCAGAAUUCAGUGAAUCAUCGAAUCUUUGAACGCACCUUGCACCCUUUGGCAUUCUGAAGGGUAUGCUCGUUUGAGUGUCAUUGUACUCUCACACUCCCGAUCUUUGCAUUGGGAGCAGUGGACUUGGGUUUGCUGCUUCACCGUCGCUUACCUCAAAUAGGUUAGUGCAACUCUUGGUUGGACAUAGUACGGCGUGAUAAGUGUUCUUCGCCGGUGCCUCGCAAAGAGGGUGGCCGAUCGGGAUGUUGUGCUCCAAACCGUCUUCGGACAAUCUCUGACGACUUGACCUCAAAUCGAGUAAGACUACCCGCUGAACUUAAGCAUAUCAAUAAGCGGAGA
rnacentral:misc_RNA from 1 species